rnacentral:rRNA from 1 species
GACAGAGGUGCCAAGCGUUAGGCGGAAUCACUGGGCUUAAAGCGUGUGUAGGCGGAUCGUUAAGUACCUUGUGAAAUCCCACGGCUCAACCGUGGAACUGCUGGGUAUACCGGCGAUCUUGAGCCACCUAGGGGCGAGCGGAACAAGCGGUGGAGCGGUGAAAUGCGUAGAUAUCGCGUGGAACGCCAAUGGUGAAAACAGGUCGCUGGGGAUGUGCCGACGCUGAGACACGAAAGCCAGGGGAGCAAACGGG